AAAGGGCAGGGUCUAGGUAUAAGCAUUAUACCGUGAAACUGCGAAUGGCUCAUUAAAUCAGUUAUCGUUUAUUUGAUAGUACCUUACUACUUGGAUAACCGUGGUAAUUCUAGAGCUAAUACAUGCUGAAAACCCCAACUUCGGGAGGGGUGUAUUUAUUAGAUAAAAAACCAACGCCCUUCGGGGCUUCUUGGUGAUUCAUGAUAACUUCACGGAUCGCAUGGCCUUGCGCCGGCGACGGUUCAUUCAAAUUUCUGCCCUAUCAACUUUCGAUGGUAAGGUAUUGGCUUACCAUGGUUUCAACGGGUAACGGGGAAUUAGGGUUCGAUUCCGGAGAGGGAGCCUGAGAAACGGCUACCACAUCCAAGGAAGGCAGCAGGCGCGCAAAUUACCCAAUCCCGACACGGGGAGGUAGUGACAAUAAAUACUGAUACAGGGCUCUUUUGGGUCUUGUAAUUGGAAUGAGUACAAUUUAAACCUCUUAACGAGGAACAAUUGGAGGGCAAGUCUGGUGCCAGCAGCCGCGGUAAUUCCAGCUCCAAUAGCGUAUAUUAAAGUUGUUGCAGUUAAAAAGCUCGUAGUUGAAACUUGGGCCUGGCUGGCAGGUCCGCCUCACCGCGUGUACUUGUCCGGCCGGGCCUUUCCUUCUGGAGAACCUCAUGCCCUUCACUGGGUGUGUUGGGGAACCAGGACUUUUACUUUGAAAAAAUUAGAGUGUUCAAAGCAGGCCUUUGCUCGAAUACGUUAGCAUGGAAUAAUAGAAUAGGACGUGCGGUCCUAUUUUGUUGGUUUCUAGGACCGCCGUAAUGAUUAAUAGGGACAGUCGGGGGCAUCAGUAUUCAAUUGUCAGAGGUGAAAUUCUUGGAUUUAUUGAAGACUAACUACUGCGAAAGCAUUUGCCAAGGAUGUUUUCAUUAAUCAGUGAACGAAAGUUAGGGGAUCGAAGACGAUCAGAUACCGUCGUAGUCUUAACCGUAAACUAUGCCGACUAGGGAUCGGGCGAUGUUCUUUUUCUGACUCGCUCGGCACCUUACGAGAAAUCAAAGUUUUUGGGUUCUGGGGGGAGUAUGGUCGCAAGCUGAAUUAGAGAAUUUUUUCUGGGGAAGAAAAAAAAGGGGG
rnacentral:rRNA from 1 species